UACGUAGGGUGCGAGCGUUGUCCGGAAUUAUUGGGCGUAAAGGGCUCGUAGGCGGUUUGUCGCGUCGGGAGUGAAAACACCGGGCUUAACUCGGUGCUUGCUUUCGAUACGGGCAGACUAGAGGCAUGCAGGGGAGAACGGAAUUCCUGGUGUAGCGGUGAAAUGACGCAGAUAUCAGGAGGAACACCGGUGGCGAAGGCGGUUCUCUGGGCAUGUCCUGACGCUGAGGAGCGAAAGCUAGGGGAGCAAACGGG
rnacentral:rRNA from 1 species